rnacentral:lncRNA from 1 species
CAGAAUACGAGAUACCAGACGAUCCAUGUGAAACAACGGAAAAAGAAACCAAAGCAGACCAUGCAUUAAAGAAGCCUGAACCAAUCUAUGAAGAAAUCGGUCCUGGAGAUGAAACACUUCGAAAGUCACAACUGCAGCAUUAUGAGUUAAUAGCCAAAAGAAAAGGUUCCGUCCAUGCAUACCAGGGACUUCAUGCAGAUAUCAA